UCAUUCUGUUUACGACAAAACUGGUGGGUGUACGUCACUGCCAGCCUCACCUUCAGGAUAUAAAGGUGGAUGAGAUGGCCAGGUGAUGCUUGUGGACAUGCGGGUGUUGGUGGGUGUGGUGUGGGUGGGCGUAGUGACUCUCACCCACGCCCACAACAUCAGGCAGGACCCACACCUUGAUCCAAACAUGCAAGACACCUUAUAUCCUCAACAGGAUGAAGGUGACGGUCUCCCUGAAUUGAGUGACCACCUGGCUCUUGAGUUGCAGGGGGAGGAACAGCAAGCCAGGCAAUUAGCGGAGAAGUACAACCUCCACUAUAUACGCCAGGUGUUCAUGAACCCGUCAGUCUACCACCUGCACAGACCAGUGAGCACCAACAGGCGGCUACGGACACCAGACCUUGACCUCCUCCAGCUGAUCUCAGAAGAACCCGGGGUGAGGUGGGUUGACCAGCAAGCAUCACUCAUCAGAGAUAAGAGAAGAUUAGUACUAAAGAGAACAUUCGAGGACCCACCUGAUGACGAUGUGAGACUCCUCAAAACACGAAGGAGACCCACUUACCACAGCAUCCCGGCAGAUGUCCGCAACUCAAGAUCCGCCUUAGAUGAAAUGCUGAAAAGAAGUGUAGAAGAGACGAACAGAAGAGAAUUACAUUGGAAUGGAAGAAAAUAUAUUGAUGAGUGGGAACAGGAGGAAGAGGAGAUAGAGGUAAAUGGAUACCCAACUGCAGGAAGACAAGAUAGUGGAGGUGGUCUACACGAGAGGAACCUCCAGAGAGACUUGAUAAGAGUUCCACUCAGUCUCAACAUUGGGAGUUCUGUUGACUUGGCCAGAUCUAGGCUCGGAGUGUCUCAAGCAGCUCACGAACACAGUCUACGAUCAUAUGUGAGUGAUGAAACAGUUUAUCCACGCGAGAACAAUAUUCCCUCCGCCAUGAACGCUGACGUGACCAGGAGAAUCGGAGACCGUGGAGGUAAACAAAAUGAAAGUAGAUUGAGGUUAAAAUUACAAAACAGAGGAGGAGGUGGAAAAUGGGAAAGCAAUCUGGCAACAACAACAUUUAAUGAUCCGUACUUCAAGGAUCAAUGGUAUUUGCACAACACAGGUCAAUUGGGCCAUAAAGGACCGGAUUUGAAUGUGACCUGGGCUUGGCUUCGAGGCUUCACUGGCCGUGGUAUCCAUAUUUCAAUCUUGGACGAUGGAAUCCAAACCACGAAUGCGGAUAUUGCAGCCAACUAUGACCCUGACGUGAGCUACUCGGUGGUACAUGAUGGUCAGCCGCUGGACGACCCAUCCCCGAGGAUAGAUCCCAGCUACUCCAACUCUCACGGUACUUAUUGUGCUGCUAUAGUGGCCGCCGUCCCUAACAACUCCGUGUGUGGUGUUGGAGUCGCUUUUGAGGCGAGGAUUGGAGGCGUGCGUAUCGUGGAUGGGACAGUGACGGACAUACAAGAAGCAACAGCUAUUUCCCGCCACAUCGAUAAACUUGACGUGCUCAGCGCUUCUUGGGGACCGACAGACAACGGUGCCAAGGUAGAGGGUCCUGGCAAGCUAACUAAACAAGCAUUCCUUAAGGGCAUCGAAGAGGGUCGAAGAGGGAGAGGCGUGGUGUAUGUGUGGGCGUCUGGAAAUGGCGGGUUGAUGGGCGACAACUGUAACUUGGAUGGCUACACGUCCUCCAUAUACACUCUGUCAGUGUCAGCUCUCACGGAAAAGGGCAUCUCCCCAUUCUAUGGAGAGCCUUGUUCGUCAACCCUGGCAUCUGUUUUUGUAGGUGGUGACCAGUUCCUUGAAGUUGCCAAGGAACGAAAACGACAUAAUGGCAAGCAACUGAGGGUGGUGGUGCCAGAGCUGGAUGGACACUGUAGUGAAUCAUUCCAGGGGACGUCAGCUGCCGCUCCUCUUAUGGCAGGGAUCGUGGCACUUGUCCUUCAGGCUAACCCGAACCUUACCUGGCGUGAUGUACAACACCUGGUAGUAGCGACAACGACCCCUAGCGACGAAGCCCUGAAGGAGGAAGGAUGGCAAACCAACGCUCGGGGCAAGAAGUUCAAUCUGAGGCAGGGUUUUGGAGCCGUAGAUGCUGGCAAGAUGGUUGAGGCUGCCACCAAAUGGAGGAAUGUUGGACCUCAGCAAACAGCUAUACUUUUUAUGCUUCAUGGUUUUAGGAACAUGCAACCUAACACUUGGCUUAACAUCACAGAGAAAUUGGAUCUCUCUCGCGUUCCAUCAGAAGUAAGAAUGACUGGGGUAGAACACGUGGUCGCUAAUGUCACUAUCAUUCACCCUCAGAGAAGCGGACUGGUGAUCUUCAUAGUGUCACCAUCAGGUACUACAUCGCAGUUGCUGACUCACCGUAGCAGCGACAAGAGCACUUUAGGCUUCACGUCCUGGGGUUUCAUGUCUGUACACUUGUGGGGGGAAGAACCGGCAGGCACCUGGACUGUGGCCAUCAAGGACAGCUCCGGAAAACCAGGCUACCUGAAGAAGGUCGAACUCACAGUUUAUGGCUCUUGAGAUAUGUUAAUCUGGUAUUGUUAAUUGUUGAUAAUUUUAAUAUAGUUUCAUUUUUCUUGUGUGAUUCAUUGAAGGAAAUACUCAGUUUUUCUGUUGUUCCUGAUACCUGUGUGAUAAGAGAAGUUUAAGAUGUUUUGUGGUCACUGGUCUUCAUAGCUAGACCUCCGACAGGCCUUGUUAAAAAGACCAGAAAGGGCAUAGGUACAGUAACAUCAAAAGCUAGCAACUGCCAAACUAAAAUCUAAUUAUGACACAUCAUGACUAGUGCUUGAGGGGAGGGAAAACUUUGUCAUUAUUGUGAUGUUUGUGGCAGUAGUUGUAGGAGGAACACCUCUACCGGGCCUCCCUGUGUCAAGGGCCUAAUGCCUGUCAGUGAGGACUUCUGGGAUGAUGUAAGCGAAUGUUUACAAACUGGUGUGGUGAACAGGUUCUCCCACAGUGUGGUGAACAGGUUCUCCCACAGUGUGGUGAACAGGUUCUCUCAUAGUGUGGCAACUUGAGAAGUUUGUGAAAAUGGAUUCCGUAAACCUGACAGUCUGUUAGGGGAGGAUACAACACACUGAAUAAUAAAUCUACAGUAAGAGUUACCAAUAUCACUGUACCUGAUGUUUUCACUUAUCCAACUGCAAAAUUAGGUACCAACUCACAGGAAGGUCAUUUGAGGAUACCCUGGGUGAGGUGACCUUUAGGACAAAGUGUGUGUUGUAUCCACUAAACUAUCAUGCUACUAACAACUUUACUAACUAUAUUUGGUCCUCACUAUUUGGUUGUUUUGAUCUUGUAUAUCUUGCCUAACUUAUAUCUACUCAUGAUUGUUUCAAUAUCUUGCUAUACUUUACCUAACUAACUUUAUCUUGAUUGAAUAAUAAUUAAUUCGAUUUUCACCUCUUUUAAAAGUGACCUAACCUAAACUAACCUCUUUUAGAAAUCAUUAUAUUCUUCCUUAGUAUCAUAAUACAGUAUAUAACAAUUCAAUCUCAAGACAAUCUCUCUCUGAUCUUUGUUAUUUUUAAAUUAAUGUUAUCUCUAAGAAAUUUUAUUAUAUUUAUAAUAUUUA
rnacentral:misc_RNA from 1 species